rnacentral:rRNA from 1 species
AGAGUUUGAUCCUGGCUCAGAACAACGCUGGCGGCAUGCCUAACACAUGCAAGUCGAACGAGACCUUCGGGUCUAGUGGCGCACGGGUGCGUAACGCUGGGAAUCUGCCCUUCGGUUCGGAAUAACUCAGGGAAACUUGAGCUAAUACCGGAUAAUGACUUCGGUCCAAAGAUUUAUCGCCGAGGGAUGAGCCCGCGUAGGAUUAGCUUGUUGGUGGGGUAAAGGCCUACCAAGGCGACGAUCCUUAGCUGGUCUGAGAGGAUGAUCAGCCACACUGGGACUGAGACACGGCCCAGACUCCUACGGGAGGCAGCAGCGGGGAAUAUUGGACAAUGGGCGAAAGCCUGAUCCAGCAAUGCCGCGUGAGUGAUGAAGGCCUUAGGGUUGUAAAGCUCUUUUACCCGGGAUGAUAAUGACAGUACCGGGAGAAUAAGCCCCGGCUAACUCCGUG